rnacentral:misc_RNA from 1 species
UGGAGAAAGACGGACGGGAACAGUACCAUUGUGAUCUCCUUCUCUGGCGCUUGCUUGUAUGAAGGUUUAAGGCCUUUCUCAAAAGAUUUGGUCCAACAAUAGUUUCAUAUAAAGAUGUGAUUUGCCUCUCCAAGUUCAUUCCCCCACCCCCAGAAACAGUUGAGCUGGUUGUACUUAAGCUCCAAGGUUUUUACCCCAACAAAUCAAAUUAUAUCUGGGAAAAGGUGUUCUAU